AUGCUCGGUAACUCAAAGUUCCGGCGCCUCAGGAUGGAUCUGCGGCCGAUUAGGUUGUUGUUGGGGUAAUGGCCCAACAAGCCGAUAAUCGGUACGGGUUGUGGGAGCAAGAGCCCGGAGUUGGAUUCUGAGACACGAAUCCAGGCCCUACGGGGCGCAGCAGGCGCGAAAACUUUACAAUGCGGGCAACCGUGAUAAGGGAACCUCGAGUGCCUGUAUAUGCAGGCUGUCCAGGUGUCUAAAACACACCUGAAGAAAGGGCCGGGCAAGACCGGUGCCAGCCGCCGCGGUAAUACCGGCGGCUCGAGUGGUGGCCACUUUUAUUGGGCUUAAAGCGUUCGUAGCUGGGUUGUUAAGUCUCUUGGGAAAUCCGGCGGCUCAACCGUCGGGCGUCUAAGAGAUACUGGCGAUCUUGGAACCGGGAGAGGUGAGGGGUACUUCGGGGGUAGGAGUGAAAUCCUGUAAUCCUCGAGGGACCACCUGUGGCGAAGGCGCCUCACCAGAACGGCUUCGACAGUGAGGGACGAAAGCUGGGGGAGCAAACCGGAUUAGAUACCCGGGUAGUCCCAGCCGUAAACGA
rnacentral:rRNA from 1 species